ACUCUUUGGUUCACAUCCUUUACAUAUUAACCUUUCUAACAUCUCGCAUCUUCAUAUCUCUAAUACAAGCUAGUCUAUAAUUUUCUUUUUCCAAGCCUUCGUAUCAAGAAAGGAGAUUAUGAAGUCAAAAACUGAAAGAAAAAAAAAGUUACUUAAUGACAGAUGCAAUCACGCAUGAAAUCUCUCCCUCUUCCUUAGGGGAAGCAAUAAUAAAAGUUUUUCUAAAAUAUGACUCCGUUACAAAAAAAGAAUACAAAAUUAUCAAAUAGAUGUCCUCAAACUUCUGACAUUUGCCAAAAUCAUUUUACUUAAUUGAUGAUUGUCACAAGUAAACGUGAUGUAAGUCUAAACAAUCUAAAGAAAACAUAAUAUCGUGUUCAUCCCUCAAACUCCACACCAUCGUUCAUCCUUCAAAACUCCACACCGUCGUUUCUCGAGUAGGCGCAUGCCUAUACAUUUCUGGAGCUUUAUAAUGGACGAAAACGAAUAUCAAAGUAUGCAAGAUCGAAGGCUGAAAUGGGCGGAGGAGUGCACGUGGUGAAGCAAAUAUAUUACAAGUAAAAGAAAAAAAAGUAAAACACACUAUUUUAUUGUUUAAUUUAUGUAUUUUGAUACUACAAUUUAGAUUUUUCAAUGUGUAAGGACAUGAAUUAUUAAAUUAUUCACAAACUUUUAGAAAGGCCGAUCUACGAUAAUAUAUUGUAAGGCGGCCUAAAAGAGGAAGGUUA